CGCGUAGGCGGUUUUGUCGGUCAGAUGUGAAAGCCCGGGGCUCAACCCUGGACGUGCAUUUGAAACAGCAAGACUUGAGUACGGGAGAGGAAAGCGGAAUUCCUGGUGUAGAGGUGAAAUUCGUAGAUAUCAGGAGGAACACCGAUGGCGAAGGCAGCUUUCUGGACCGAUACUGACGCUGAGGCGCGAAGGCGUGGGUAGCGAACA
rnacentral:rRNA from 1 species